ensembl:misc_RNA Metazoa_SRP Metazoan signal recognition particle RNA
GCUGGGCAUGGUGGCUCAUGCCUGUAAUCCCAGCACUUUGGGAGGCUGAGGCAGGAGGAUCACUUGAGCCCAGGAGUUCAAGACCACCCUGGGCAACAUAGUGAGACCCCGUCUCUA